UCCCCUCUCUUGAAUCAGCAUGUUACUUAACGUACAGUUUUGUAAUAAGCCACUUCAAGAGAUGAUCUUGUUGAAAAUUGCUUUUUAUGUAUACCUGAUUUUUGGUUUCAAUCCCUGCACCAGCUCACUGGGUGUUUGCACAAGCUUCAGUGCUGGUCUAGCAGAGGGACUCAAGACAUGCAGCUGAAGGCAGAAGCGGAAAAUAAGCUUCUCCUUCAUUGAGUAAAUGUGGCUAGUGCAUUUACUCCAGACAGGGGAAAGCUGAACUGAGUUCCUUCCUCUUCGGGAGACAGACAUUAAGCUUCUAAACAGAGUACCAUAAAUACCCAGCCCUCAGCAGAAGUCCCAGUUGAAAGGACCCCAGAAUGCUGAAAGACCUUCACCCUGGCACUUUUACAAAU